UACGUAGGGUGCGAGCGUUGUCCGGAUUUAUUGGGCGUAAAGAGCUCGUAGGCGGUUUGUCGCGUCGGCCGUGAAAUCUCCACGCUUAACGUGGAGAGUGCGGUCGAUACGGGCAGACUUGAGUUCGGUAGGGGAGACUGGAAUUCCUGGUGUAGCGGUGAAAUGCGCAGAUAUCAGGAGGAACACCGGUGGCGAAGGCGGGUCUCUGGGCCGAUACUGACGCUGAGGAGCGAAAGCGUGGGGAGCGAACAGG
rnacentral:rRNA from 1 species